GCAGUUUGGCAGUGAGCAUCUGAGCAGUGAGGAAACCAGUGCUGGUGGGGCCUGGAGUCUGGAUUUGGAGAAAAGGGCCUCCAGCCCACGGGCUGUGCAGGAUUUCAGGUGCUUCCAGUGCAGCUGGGGUGAGGGACCAGCAGAAAACCUCCUCCUGAAAGUGUCUGUGCUUUGUCUGGCUCUAAGUAGUGCUUUCUGGAGAACGAGACAAGAAAGCAAAGAAGGAGGAGAAAGGAGAAGAAAAUGUAAGAAACGGAAAGAAAAGCAGAGGAAAGAAAGGGAAAGAAAAGGAACAAAAGGAAAAAGUAGCAAAACUGGUAUCAGGAAAAGAAACACCAAGUCCCAAACAAACAUGUUUGUGAUAGAGGAAAUGGAUUUUUGAACCCUUGCAAUGUUUGGUCUUUUGGGUUGUCAGCAGCGCGUUGCGUGCUGAGCACAGGGCAGUGUGAUGGAAAUACCUAUGAAGGCAGCCCGACCGAGGUACUGUACCAGGAAAUGCCCUGCUUUCUUGACUACCUCGCGCACGAUACUAUGGUUAAACCCAAGAGCGUGCCUCAUCAUAACAUGUGCCUUAUCGACCUUGCUAUCUGAUGACAACAGCAGCCCUCAGGAGACCAGACUGACAUCAUCCAAAACCUCAGUAGUUCAGAGCACAAACUGAUGUAGCUAGGCUGCCCGCUGUGCAGGACUGUUUAUCUGUUUGCACUGAACUUGCAGGCACUUUGUUAGAGGAAUAUAAAAAUCAAGCCCAAACAGCUUUUUAAGAAAUGUUUCUCGUAAACUAUCACGCUAUUUAGCACAUGGAUGAAAGGGUAAAAACCUCUUCCUCUGCAUCCAAGUAGAAAGAGUCUGGCCUGCAGCUUUCUGCAGCGUUUGAGAGGGGGAGAGAAGCCCAGAACACCACUGCUGCCAUAAGGAGAAGUGGCACCACCGGUGAUUCGGUACCAGUCCCCAUUCCCAGCCGGCCCGGAUGUUCUCGGGUCUGGCUGCGGGGUUUGGGCUCACCCCACAUGAGGCAGAGGCCAGCUGUCUGUCUGUCUGUCUGAGCUCUGCACCCUCACAUCGAGGUCCAGGGCUGGGUGGCUCGCAGUCAUGUUGGUCUCCUCAUUUGGUUGCUGCCGGCUCACAGCAGCAAACCACAUGGCUCUGGCCUCCUGGCCUCCUCUCUAAUGCAAGAUGAGGGGAAUUUCUGCAGUAACAGAAAUAAGAAACAGAAAAUAGACCAGGCUCUUCUUGUGUAAUAUUCACAGAGUGCUCUGUUUUCAAUUUGCUCUCCCUUUCCCGGCUUCUUCAAAACACCUUCUCUCAUUUACGUCAGCACAGAUUUACCACACCCCACUCGUUUCAGACCUGGAUAGCCCCAUGGAAAAAGAUUACCAGCCUUUCGGAGUGCAGCUUUAUGUCUCGGACAAAGGAAGAUCAUACGGGGCCGUAUUUAUUUGUGAGCCGCCUUUAUAUUUGCACGGCACCUAGCACAAACGAGCUUUCAGAGGGAAAUGAAGCCGGAUUUAAGCACUGAAUGCAUGCAUAGCAACAAGAGGAGGGCCAUCCAGCGCAAGGAUGCUAAGUGUCCCUUUACAGCCCCCAUUGAGGCCCAGCACCCACCUCCCGGGGCGAUGCAGGGCAUGGCUGUGCCAUGACCCCGGGCGAGGAGCAGCUUCCCCGAUUCCACUCCGGAAGGUUUGAGAGGGCUCCUCGUAAAGCCAAAUCUUGGAGAUACUGAAGUUUUGUGGAUCGUUAUGAUUUUGAUCCCCAGAAGAAGGAAAGCACCAAAAGGGAUUUCUGGAAGUGCCACGUGAUUCCUUUCCUACUGAGCAAAGUAUUUUCUUAUUGUAGAAAUUGAAUGGAUUUGUUAAUUGCAUUUUGGGUUAUCCCGGGCUCUAGAUAGAUUGUCCUUUACUCAAGUCAAUGUAAAUAAACACAGCUCCUCUGAACCCCUGCCUAGGUAAGCCAGAUUGAGAGAAGCUCAUAUGAAUGGUAUUAUGGGCUGAUGGCUACCGCAGGGACAUAAGGUUAGAGCUGGGCUCCAUUCUAUGCAGAAAUGGGGACUGGUCUGUAAAAUGGAUCAAAUGGUUCCCAGCUCUCUAAAGCACUUUGGAAGCAAGUUGUGGUUUCGAAUGUGUUUGUAGCUCCCUGCGUAAGAAAAGUGUACAGAUAAGCUUUAGAAACUGAGGGAGUGUCUUGAGUGCUAAAAGAAGGUUUUUUAGUACAAAAAGUACUCAAGCUCAAAUUGAAUCAAAUUCAUGUUUCAUUCUAGGAAUCACUGAAAUUAUAGAAAAAGAAAAAACAAACAACAUACCCCCGUCACAGUACUUUACCAAAUCUCAGAAGUAACCAAAAACACCCGAUAAACACUGUGCUAUGCAAGAAGCUCAGUUUUAUUUCCAGACAACUAGAUAAGAUGAUCUUAACAGAGCUGUUAACUUGUGAGUAGAUCUGUAACUCUGUGUUGACAGUAACCACAUUAACUGCAUUUAGGGUAAAUGCAGAACACCAAACUGGCAGUGAUGCAUCACUUACGCCCUAUCUAUGCUGUAUUUCAAGCGCAAGUGGUACUUGGCUAGUGGGUUGGCCUGGCAGCUUGAGAGCAAAUCUGCUUGCUGCACUGGUUUGUGUUUAGCAGCCUGAAAGGCACUGGUGCUGUUUCCAGCUGUUUGGGACACAUGUGUGCAAGCGAUGUAUUUGAUGAGAAUACACAUCUUGUUGAGAUAGGUUAAAACUGAAAGCGUGGGGGGAGAUGAACCUGAGAGGGUUCCUGGCAGUGUUUCUUCUGCAACUCAGCUUCUUGAAUCAGCAGCUUGGGAACAAAUUGCAACAUGGUCCUUAGAAACGUCAUUGCUGUAUGGGUUGAACUGGCUAUUUGCGCAGGAGCCUCUGAUGUUGCACUGUUGUGCAGAAGUAGCGUUGUCUCUAUCUGCUCGUAAUCUGACUGAGGUGGGUGGGGCUAAACUGUAUUGAGCCUCUGUCGCUGCUUGGGUAGAUCAUGCAGGGCACGCAUUUCACGUGGCACCCGCCGCAACCACGUGGGCGCAACCAUGGCCGCACAGCCUACCUCUGGCCCCUCAGCAUCUCCUCUGCACUCGUCCUUACCCCCAUGCCAGGAGAAGUCUGACCUCGCCUGCAGUGCCCUGCUGUGCUGCCGGCCGUGGCCUCCAUGGUGGGAAUCCAACCUGACCUUCCCGGCCCCUGCUGUUCCUGCCCUGUCCCAUUCAGAAACUGUUAAUCAUCCUGAACUACUUACGGGUUUUGUGAUCUCAAACAGGGCUUGAACUCAACUUUCUAGAGGUGAAAACAUAACGUCUUACUGUAACUCAUUUUACCAGCCAAUCCUAUCCUGAACCUAGCAAUAUUUUAAUCACAAAAUCCAACCUCAAAACCCACAGCAUUUUCAGUUACUGUAUUUCAUCACCACACAGCUCAAAACAACUCUUUUUUUUCAACCACCCUUGUUUUUUUUACAGUGAAUCACAAACCAUGGAACUUAACAGACGGAAAAGACCCGGAGAAAUUCUCUCUCACUGACCCUGGUGUAUAUAAGGAAUAAUAUAAUUAGAGUAAAAAACGUCUCUUUACAGUCGCACGGGUAUAGCAGAGUUCUAGGAGUCAGCCUCCUCUUUGUUGAGACAGAUAGACCAUCCUAAACAAGCAAAAAAGCACUGGUGCUUCAAAAUGGUUGUGGUGAUGCCUGUUUAAAUCAGCCUAAGGAACGGAGCACUUUUUUUCCCCAGAAGGCAAUUCCAUGCUCUGCGAGAUUUUACCAUUACGCUUUAUUUCCUGGUAGGUCUCCUGCUGCUCACUUUGCUGCUAUUCUUGGCCAUGCCUCCUUGAAUCACACCAAGGAAUAAUUAACAAUAAUAUAACUCUGGGUGUCAGCAGGUUUUGCCCACCAGAAGAAUGUUAGCCAUCAUGAAUGCUCUGUGCAGUACCCACUAAUAUUGUUCAGCUGUUCCUGGGAAGGCUGGUCCCUCUUAGUCACUGGUUUAUUGGUGAGAAAACUGGGACACGGGAAUUUAAACUCUCAUAGAAAGACUACAGGACAGCCAAGGGAGAACACCUGAUCUUCGGGCUGUCACUCCUAAGCAACAGCCACCUUUCUUCCCAUGGUGAUUACACUCCUGAGAAUCAAUGGGUGUUUCACAACUGAUGAUGUGUUUACAGUUCCCAGCCUCAGUGUGCCCAGCCUUAGAGGUGCUGGGACAAUGACUUAUAGUGCAUGUAGUGCUUGUACUGAGGGGCUGAAAUGGGGCCUUCAGCCCUGGGCUGCAAUCCCAGCCUCACUGGCAGUGAAGUAAAUCGGAGUUACUCUGGAGUGAAGGACGUGCAUCCAACAGCACCAUCUGGCCCACACAACUUUGUGUAAAGCAUGGCCCUUGUGUUUGGCAUUGUUAGCCCCUGUUGGCAUCCAUGCUGGCAAUGGCCAUGCCUGGGGUUGCGCCGGAGGGGAUGUGCAGAGCUUUCCCACCACCAUCUCCGCAGGCCCCUCCAGGGCAGGACAGAUCCAGCCGUGACCCAAAUGGAAUACCCUUUGCGCCUUGAUCAACUUCAUGCAUCUUCCUAUCUGGGGGCUUGCAAAAUUAGCACUCAAAGAUUUUCCCCCAGCCCUGUUCCCUCUAAGUUACACCCACAUUUUUCUCAUGAGUGACUCACUGUUAAAACAGAAUGUUUCUCCAGCUAGAAUUCUAUGCUAUGUAUUAGAAACAGCUGAGCUGCCGUAAUAGCAAGUUGCCUGGGUGUCUGUGAGACCAUGUGUGCCUGAGUGUAUGGACAUGCACACAUGUGUACAUAUGCUUUCUGUUUUCAAUUUGAGUUUCUCUUUUGCCCUUUCCACUCCUUUUCCUUUCAGUUUCUUCUAUUUAUUUAUUUUCCCCCCUCCCCCUCUUCUUCUGUGCAUGUAAAAUAUAUCCACAAACACAUUCAGGGUUUGAAGAGCAGUAUCAAAUGACCUCAUCCAUUCAUUUGUGGAUAAACAGAAGGAAGACCAUGGAGUUAUUUCAUGUGGUGCAAGAAAAAAGAGUUAAACCAGAUCAGUUUAAGUUAAACAAAGGAAAGCUUGAAAUGAAACAACAGGAACAACAUCCUUGGUUUGUUAGAUUGAGGCAUAAUUACUUUCUCCGGAGCAAUGAUUGUGCAUUGGAGUGACAGUGCUGCUGUGUGCACCUCUGAAAUCAGCACACAGUAAGUCACGGGGGCAGAGCUGUCAGAUGGCAGGUUUCUUGGGGUGAUAAAAAGGCCAUAUGUGAGGUUGAUGUAAAGGAAAAUUCCAAUGACUGGGCGCAGUAUUUAGAGAACAUAAACAAGAGGGUUGAGGGUAGGACAUGCUCAUAUGUAAAGGUUGUUCCCACUUACGUUACCACCCACUGAAGCCUUCCCCAGAAAUCUCAUACAAUCAGUCCCUUUGCGAAAGUUACAAAGCCAGGUAGGUUGGGGAUGUGCUGAAGGUAAGAACUGUUCUGGGAAGCUAACCCCACAGCACAUCUGCCAUUCAGCCUGAAGGAGCACAGCGCUGUCUUUGUGAUAUGGUGCCACGAGGGCACACGUCUCUAUUCCACUCCCACCUCUGCCAUCUUCUGCCACUGUGUCCCAGCUGAUGCCAUCAUGGCUGCCAGGGCACCCUGCUCUCACCUGUGCACCGGGGUGGGGAAACAGAUUUGGUUGCUUUGUUGCGGCCAGAAGGGCUUCAGCUGUGGGCUGUACAAGGCAGGAGCAGACCUCCUCCACCUACUGCUCUGCAGCAGCUGAGGGCAAUGAACAACUUAACAGGCCAAACAGGACCUCUGGUAAGUGGCUACUAUUUGCUGCCUCAGAAGGCCAAGGAUUCCACCACAGCAUGUCUCAGUGAGCGUAUGGGUAUCUUGAGGAGCUGGAGGCUUCGGGCAGCUGCAAGCUGACAGGUCUUCUCCAUGCACAUUACAGAAGCACCACACUGCAGCGCCAACAACGUGAGCAAUUUCACCAAAUACCAUCAAUUCACUGAAGACAAGGGAGAGCAAUUUAAUACACACACCAAGGAUUGAGGAUCUGUACGUCACGAGGUCUGCUGCCCUCUGCGUUGCCAUCUAUGUGCUUAUGGGCAUCUGACUUUUUUCUUUAUGACUCAGUUUCCCAUAUAUGCCUGAGAGAAAUUAUUUGCAGCCAGGAGGUGAAUCAAGAGGUCAUACACUUCUGAGGUUAUUCUGGGUUAGUCAUUCAUCUUAGGACUUUAGUGGCAUACCUAUACAGAGCAAAUUGUACUAAUCUACAUCAGACUUGUGUGGAGAGAACAGAUACAUCAAAAGUUCAGAGGUCUGCAGAUACUCGAGUACUGUAUCUACAGAGCCAUACAAAUUCCUAAAAUAAACAGGUAACCAAAGGUGGGCCUGGACCUGGAUCUCCCCUGAACUUGAUGGGAAAAGGAACUGUGCAUCCAAGCUUCACAGCAGGCCCUUCUCCCUACCAUGCAACAAAAACCCAAGUCCCUUCUCAGUAAGAGGAGGUGUUGGGCAUAUGCCAGGAUAGCAAAUGUAAACAGGCAGCACCUCAUCAUUCCUUAGAGGGUGCUACCAGUAGACGCACACCCUGAAGGACAGCAGCACUGAACCUCAUGGAGAGUCUAUGGGAGAGACGGUUUAUGGAGAUGUCUGAGGUACAAAGAGCCCCCAGUGUUCUGCACAGUGGCGUGUGUUGGCCCUAAGGCACUUACUGGUGCGUGAGCCUAUGUGUUGCCAGCAGCCAUGCCACAACAGAAACUAGUAAAACUCUGGAGUAAUGCAGUGAGUUCAGUCCUGCAACAGUGUUAGAAAGUCUGUCAGGCAGGUAAGCAACCUCAAUAACAUAAGAGAAAAGGGAGGCAGUCUUCUGCCUUCUCAAGAUGCCUUUUGCUUUGGAAAGAGAGGGAAUCAAGUCCCUGAAAAAGAGUUUGAAGACUGCUCCACAUCCACAAUCUACAACCCUGGCAUGGUUUCCCCGUGCCCUAAAGCAGAGGCAAAAAUAGGAGGUGAAUAUAUUCAUUACCACAAACUGCAUAGUGAAACCAUCAGAAUGGGUAUUCUAAAAAAAGAAAUGAAACCUUUGCUUACGAAUAGACCUAAAAGAAUUGAAUACAUGUGUACAGAGGGAUCAUUUUCCACUACCUACAAGAGGAAAAAUCUCUGGGGAAGUGGCUGAUGCCAAAUAUUUUCUUAUGCUUCAUGUGUCAGCAGGGGCUCGCAGAAGCCCUUAAAAAACAGAACACGCAUUUUGUGCAAAUUGAGAAUCACAGUUUCUGGUGAUUUAGACUGCUUCACCAAACUUGAGACAUUUCUCCAAAAAUACAACAGAUGUCUGAUGAUGGACCAAGUUUUCAGCAUUUACACAGAUCAGAUGAUGUUAAGAUCAGCAGAAAAAAAACCAACACAGAAUAACAUGCUAAAGGGCUUCAGAGCUGCCUGAGAAGAAACUAAGCUGGCUAGACAGACAAAAAUGCUAAUUUCUCACAGCAACUAUAAAACGCUGUCCAGAGACACUGUCAGAGCCAGGUAUACAGCAAGGUUACAGAGGAGCUGAGAUGUGUGCAGAAGCAGCGGGCACAAAUACUUGCUGAAAUGAGAGCCCUAGGAGAUGUGCACAACUUGGUCGUGUGACCUGCCAACCCCAGGGCACUGCUGUAAGGCAUCCAGCUGACUUUGGCUACAAAUGAUAACAACUGCAGAAAAUGAAAGAGGUGACUGAAGAGGAGGCAGCCCCGUGGUAUCUUAACGGCACACACGAGACAGAGUUGUCCCCAGAAGAGAACUGAGCUAAUGGUCUUGCUAUAUAGUCAGAACUGGAGGACAGUAAUUUCUGUGCAAUAAACACUAACAAAACCUGAGUGUCAGAGAGAAAGGAUUUGGCAUUUGCCCAAGAAUGUAAAAAGUUUCCUCGAUUAUGAUUUAAUUUUUAAGAGAACCGACCGUAAGCCACUUGCUGUGAUUGCCAAACUGGCCUGACAAACCCCCUCUCCUCACAGACACGAAGAAUUUUUUUUCACUUACAAAUUUAUGAUUUGCAGAUUGGGAGGGAUUUGGCAGGUUCAAACUUAAUCCCUGGAGCAUUUGAUGAAAAUACAAUGAUGCAAAGUCCAGAGCUAGACUUUGUAGGUGAUGAUUUGCUUAAAAAUGGUGGGGAUGAAAUCCAGCAGAAAAUGUAAGAGACGGUCACUGAAUAGUCUCAGCGUUGUUACUGACUUCAGAUAAAGUAUGAAUGUACAAAAAAUGAUAUAACCUCUCUUGAUGGUUAUUUUCUACUUGAGUAAAGGUAACUUUACUGUAAGGAACUAGUACUAAAAACAUGGCAGGGUACAUCAAACUUCUCGCUGCUAUACAUACCGUACCUGCCAAGGGAAACAAGCUCUGACAAUGGAGCAGGAAUAAAUAAAUGUAAGACAUCUGCAGUAUAUACAGAUUUAGUUCUCCUACUCUAGCUUCAUUAUUCCUCAUCAAAUGAGUAGGUACGAAAUAGUAUCAAAAGAAGCUGGCAACUACUGAGAAAAUGUGUGGAAUUAGGCUGUUUUAAAUCUCUUAUAUCAAGGUGGAACCCAUGAAGGAAGUGCGUCAACUACUGAUAUUUUGUAUGAUGGAAAAAUAAAAUGAAAUUCUUUUAGUUCCUUUAGUCUCUCAAUUCCCCCUCAUCUUCAGGGGUUCCCUUUAAGUCACAGGUGUUUGGAAGAAGAGUAGAGAGAGUCCAGGGCACAGCAAACUCCUAACAAAAUGACCUACCACCCUUAACAACUGCAGGAGUGAUUUUCCAGAGAUGCAAGCAAUGCCACCAGUUCCUCAAGAUUCAUCAAGCAGGGUUUACAUGUUAUUGGUUGUAAUUGUUUGCAGCCAUGUAUUAACACAUCUCUGAAUUCUGAUUUGGAAAACUCAGUGAUUGGAGGACCUCUAGCAUUAACAAAUGCCCUUUCCAGUUUGUGAAUCUCAAUCAGGUGCUGCAAAGCCCUCAUUUUAUUGUGAACAGCUGGAUGAAACCAAAUGCAUAACAAAGCAAAUCUUUCACAAGCAGCUUAAGCACUGGAUGCACAAUGAGGACAAUUGCAUUUCAGCCCAGAUGUAGUUGCACUUAAGCCACAGGGAAGUAAUUCAUUUAUAUGCAAACUUCUCAAGCACUUUGGGAUGAGAGUACUAUACACAAUCAGUUUAAUACACUCUACUUAUGUGACAAACUCCCGUUUUGUAUUAUUGUUUUCCUAGUUUUGCUGUGCCAAUCAUACUGCAAUCCCUCGUCUUCAUUCUGAUCGUGGUGGAACAGCAGGCAGAUACUUUCAAAAAAUCCAGCAGAAUUAAAAACUUGCAAUGGAUAUUGUUCCUAUGCGUGCAUCCUGCCCAUGCUCAGAAACCGUUAAUGUUCCAUUUCUUUCUUCCAGGCCAACAAGUGGCUGCCGAUAUUCAUGUGGCAUUAAUGUGGCUUUGAACACUCAGUGUACUUUACCCAUAAGGUAGCAAAUCCUAGGCACUGUUUGUGGUGCUUGAGCAUCUCUUUCAGGGUCCCUCCUGCCUUCACUUUCUACUGUGAUGCUCUCCUGCCUCAGCAGAAACAACCAACCUACACACCAACAGCUGCAAAUUCUUCCUGAUUUGAGAAGUCUUCUGGAACAAUUUGGUAACUUGCUCUAUUCCUUUUUGUGGAACCCCGCAAAAAAUGUCUGAAGUGACUGUGUUAUCUAGUAGGUAAAUAAGGAGAUUAGAAACCCUGAAACCACCUUUGGUCUUGUACAGUACUGCUGAAAAUAGACAUCACAUGAUGUCUAAAUUAAGUAUGUGUUGACUGCCUAAGGCAGCUUCACCCCAAAUCGAAUGCCACUGUAUCAUGCAGUGCCUACACAGCUUCCCGUCUUUUGUUUCCUCAUCUGUAACACUCAGCCAUCCUAAGGGUGUAUUGAGAGUUCACUGGCAUUUCAGAAGACUUUUGAGAUUCUUGGAAGAACGAUCUAGUAUGAACACAAAACAGCUGAUAUUAUUUCUUCCUUUUUUAGUGACAUUCCUCUGCUGCUGAUAUUAUGCUCUCACAUUCCUGAGCUAAGCUUGUUUGAGGGACUUGAUCUUAGUUGGGCUUAAAAUCUGUUUUCUUCCACAGAGGGGAUGCUGAAAUACACCUUUAAGCACAGCAAACCUCAAAUGCUUGGAAGCCCUGCAUUCAAGGUCUCUUCAAACUGCCUUCAUCUGACCUUCUUCAUCUUUCUUGAUAAACUCAAACAAGGAAAGCUAGAACAGUUCAAUACAAGCAUGUUCUGCAUACCCUGUAGCCUCGUGCAAUUUGAACAAACGAUUUAGUACAGAUUAGAAGGUUUGGUUUCUAGCCAAAAAUCUGCAAUUAGAUACCCACAUGAUUCCAGUUUUUGACAGGAGGUAUAGUCCCAAAUUUGAAUAUAAAUUCCCACUCCAGGACCAAAGCUCUAUGUAGACUAUGUGUGUAGACACACCUUCUAGAGGCCUUGUAAAUACAAUCACCUCUUUUUUUCUCCAUCUAAAAAACUGGGACUGCAAUAGAGGUGUUUAGAGAAGUUCAUUUCUAGAAGUAUUUACAAAAGUUAAAUAUUGCUUGUUUCAGUCUUGUUCCAUUAUGAAGAAGUCCUGUAAUGUUUUCAUCCUCUGUUAAAGAGUUCUUCACUUGCACUCUUUACGUUGCUUAAUUAAAUUGUACCAGGUUGUUUCACGAGUUGGCCUCUCUUAUGGCUUUCUGCAGUUACAGAGCGAUGGAAGAGGGGUGUUUAGAGAGCAAGUAACAGAGAGGGAAUUGUUGACAAAAGGUUUCAGCUCCCUGGCUGUGCUCUCUAAGCAGCUCUGUCUGCAACAGCUCUUCUUUCAUGUUGCGUCUUUGACAGAACAAUUCCCAUUCAAAAAGCAUCAGCAAGCACUAGAAGCACACCCACAUGUUAGGUGCUCAAGCACAAUCCCUGUAGCUCUUGAAUUUCCCUCUCUGCAGGGAGGCCUUAACUUGGUGAUGCCAUUGUGAAUGGAUGAGUGGGAGAAAGACAUUAUCAGUAACAGUGGGUAAUGCAAAUGACAAUUUGCAUUAAGAUGGUGUCAGGCUUGGUCCAUGGCUUUCCACGAAGAUAUUGGUGCUAAAGCAUCUCCUGGGCAGGGCUGAGCCUUCAGAGGAGGAGAGCUGAAAUAAUCCCUGAUCCAGGAUGAGGGCACCAGAAGAGCUCUGUACCUCAGGGGUAGUGGAGGAGCCCUGCUGGCUGCAGCAAUGGAACUGGGGCCUACGGAGGCCUCAGAGCAGAAGAAAUCACACCUGUCCCUCCUGAGGUUGUGUGGAGCUCAGCUGGGGAAGUGGGCUCGUUAUGCUGGCUGUACCAUCAGCCGGUCCCUUUGGAAGUCAUGCUGGACUCUGAGAGACGGCAGUUCCCUUCAACACGCCCAGUCACACAUAGCUAAUGGAACCAGGAUUAUUGCAGCAAUUUAGGAAAAAAAAAAAAGGAAAGCAUGUAUUGCCAGGUUGGAUAAAACGUAAGGCUUGAUGUGGGCAGAGCUCCUGCCAGCUGAAGUGUUUGCACCUGGUCUUACUGGAAAUCCACGGGGCAGAAGAUUCUUGCUGAAGUGUUUGUGUUGCCAUCAGCAUGGCAGCGACUCUCCCGCACGUACUCAGACACCCAGGAGGCCAGGGCUCAGGGCUCUUCGAGGAGGUCAGUUUUUAUAUAGUAAAGCAAACAGUUUAGCUAAUCAAGGAUAUUUUUUCUUUUCUUUUCUGAGGCUCUUGGCAUCCAGCCCUGUUACUUGCAAUCUUUAAUUUGUACUGUGGCUUCCUUUUCCCUGCUGCCUUCUCACUCACUCCAAUUUUCCCACACACUUGUUUCCUAACUCUACCUCCUAUGGAGGUCGUCAUUUAUUUCAGACCCAAAUUUAUCUCAGUCCUACACAACGCUGCUGUUACCUCACCAUUUAUUCCUGUAAAAGACUGUCACUGGAUAUUCAUGAGAUUGACAAGUUUGUGGAAAAACAAUGGAGCCAUUUUUUGUAAGAUAGAAAAUAGUUGAUGGUUACAUCAGAUAGUUGUAAAUUUAUUCAUACGCACUUGUAUAAAUCGAUUGUAUAUCAACUUGGACCUUCUUUUUGGUUAUACAGCUGUCUGAGUGGCAACAGUGGGUUUUCAGGUUUGGUUUUUUUGUGUUUUUUUUUUUUAAAGGUUCUGUGUGUGUCUGUGGUAGAAAUGGGAUGCGAGCGGUACAUCUCGCUCACAAGAUGGCCACGGAAAAGCCUGUUACCAUAAAGCUUCUGCAAAAAGGGAGAAGAUUCUGACGAAACAAAGUCACGUUUUGGCAGAUUCUUCCUCAAACUUUCCUUCAGCUAAAAAAAAUGCCCAUACAAACACGGAGGAGAUAAAGGCUUUUUUUCUGGUUACCACAGCUACGCAGCCACACAGCAUUUGCCCACAUCACAGAGUCUGGCUUGCUCCAGAGCUGAUAAUGAGAUGCACAGGAACACGGGUCAGAAGAGACAUGCUUGAUCACCGGGUUCUGUCCCAGA